rnacentral:rRNA from 1 species
AGUCGAGCGAACAGACCAGGAUCUUGCUCCUCUGACGUGAGCGGCGGACGGGUGACUAACACGUGGAUUGCCUACCUAUCAGACUGGGAUCACUUCAGGAGACCCGAGCUCAUACCGGAUAAUAUCANNUGAACCGCAUGGUUCAAUAANAGAAAGACGGUUUUGCUGUCACUUAUAGAUGCGUAUCCGCGCCGGCAUUAGANUAGUUGGUAAGGUAACGGCUUACCAAGGCAACGAUGCUUAGCCGACCUGNAGANGGUGAUCGGCCACACUGGAACUGAGACUCNNUCCAGACUCCUACGGGAGGCAACANNAGGGAAUCUUCCGCAAUGGACGAAAGCCUGACGGAGCAACGCCGCGUGACUGAUGAAUGUCUUCCGAUCGUAAAACUCUGUUAUUAGGGAAGAACAAAUGUGUAAGUAACUAUGCACGUCUUGACGGGACCUAAUCCGAAAGCCACCGCUAACUACGUGCCAGNUGCCGCGGUAAUACGUAGGUGGCAAGCGUUAUCCGGAAUUAUUGGGCGUAAAGCGCGCGUAGGCGGUUUUUUCAGUCUGAUGUGAAAGCCCACGGCUCAACCGUGGAGGGUCAUUGGAAACUGGAAAACUUGAGUGCAGAAGAUGAAAGUGGAAUUCCAUGUGUAGCGGUGAAAUGCGCAGAGAUAUGGAGGAACACCAGUGGCGAAGGCGACUUUCUGGUCUGUAACUGACGCUGAUGUGCGAAAGCGUGGGGAUCAAACAGGAUUAGAUACCCUGGUAGUCCACGCCGUACACGAUGAGUGCUAAGUGUUAGGGGGUUUCCGCCCCUUAGUGCUGCAGCUAACGCAUUAAGCACUCCGCCUGGGGAGUACGACCGCACGGUGAAACUCAAGGAAUUGACGGGGACCCCACAAACGUGGAGCAUGUGGUUUAAUUCGAACAACGCGAAAACCUUACAAAUCUUGACUCCUCUGACCCUCUAGAAUAGAGUUUCCCCUUCGGGGACAAAUGACAGUGGUGCUGGGUGUCGCCCCUCGNGCCGGAGA